UACGGAGGGUGCGAGCGUUGUCCGGAAUCAUUGGGCGUAAAGGGCGCGUAGGUGGCCCCUCAAGCGUGCGGUGAAAGUCAGGGGCUCAACCCCUGAUCGGCCGUGCGAACUGGGGAGCUUGAGCACUGUAGAGGCAGGCGGAAUUCCGGGUGUAGCGGUGGAAUGCGUAGAGAUCCGGAAGAACACCGGUGGCGAAGGCGGUUAGCUGGGCAGUUGCUGACACUGAGGCGCGACAGCGUGGGGAGCAAACAGG
rnacentral:rRNA from 1 species